AGGAGCCGUAUGAGAUGAAAAUCUCACAUACGGUUCUGAAACGGAGAAUUCGUUAAAGUUAAAGCGAAUGACGACCGUAAC
rfam:Arabis alpina cultivar Pajares chromosome 3, whole genome shotgun sequence.